AAUGGAAGUCUCCCCGUUUGAGAUGGGGUGUGUGCUCCUUACCCAGGCUCCUGAACAAAACCCACCUCCUUGUCUUGGCACCACUGAGAGUGCACACCGAGGGGGCUCCAGCACCAGAUUGUGGGAACAGUCACGAGAAAGCAGCUCAGACUUCACACCCAGAGCCCUUGAUCCCUACACACCCAGUAUUCCUUCACAGCGCUCUUCCUGCUUCCUGGACACGUGGAACUGCUUCUCCAUCGGGGAGGAUCCAUCCAGAGCCCUUUGUACACUUUCCCCAUAUGGCACGGAGCAGAACGUGCACCUUUGGCUCUGGAAGGAAUGAACAUCCUACCCGUUAGUUAGCCCUGGGAGUCACUGACUCGGUUCUUCCCUGGACACCAAUGUCCUAUGGAGCACACAGAAAGCCACGGAAGUGUGGUCUGCGGGUUGAGACGGACUCCGUUCAUGUGGAUAAGCAGAGGAAAUUUGGCAGAAACGACCAAAUGCAAAAUACGUGUAGCAGCCUGAGACCGGCCGUCUACUGAAACAAAGGAUGCAGUUCAGUCGGAAACCACGCUUAGCUGAGUAGCUGUCUUUAGCCAUCCAGGCCCUGAGAACCAAUGAACAACCCAGCUUGGCCGCUUAGAACAUUUUUUCUAUACUUGAGUUAAAUAGAUAUCCAAGAACCAUUACUCGUUUUUAAUGUGGAGAAGUCGGUAUUCUAUUCUCGUGUUCUAUGUUUUUUAAAGUGGCAAUUUGAAUUAUUUCGUGCGAUAGAAAACCUUAAACACAAAGUAACGUUUCUAACAAAAGGGCUGUCGAUCAAGUGACAAACACGUCCUACUUUUAGAUACAAGCACGACUGAGGCAACGGCACGAAGACGCCUAAAGUGGGCUGCUGGGGAGACAAGAUCUGGCCGCGAAUGGAACUCGCGGCAGCUCAUUAACGGGACCGUCCAGCAGGAAGGUGGGUUGGCAGCCUUCUCCCAGGGCUCCCCACGAUCCCUACCCCUGGUGUGGCGUGGCCUUCCUCCUCACAUGUCGUCUGGACCAAGCAGUGUGUUGUUCUCAUCCAUAAAGAGUGAUGGGCCGGGCACGAUGGCCACACCUGUGAUCCCAGCACUGUGGGAGGCUGAGGCGGGAGGAUCUCCUGAGCCCAGGAGUUUGACACCAGCCUGGGUAGCAUAGGGAGACCCUGUCUCUACAGAAAAAAAGUUAGCCAGGUAUUCCAGAGGCUGAGGUGGGAGGAUCGCUUGAACCCAGGAGGUGGAGACUGCAGUGAGCCGUGAUCGCACCACUGCACUCCAACCUGGGCAACAGACUGAGACCCAGUUUCUAAAACAAAUAAUAAAAAGGCAGGGUGCAGUGGCUCAUACCUGUAAUCCCAGCACGUUGGGAGGCCAAGGUGGGCGGAUCACUUGAGGUCAGGAGUUCGAGACCAGCUGGCCCACAUGGUAAAACCCCAUCUCUACUAAAAUGCAAAAAUCAACCGGGCACAGUGGCACACGCCUGUAAUCCCAGCUCUUCAGGAGGCCGAGGCAGGAGAACUGGGAGGCAGAGAUUGCAGUGAGCUGAGAUCGUGCCACUGCACUCCAGGCUGGGUGACAGAGCUAGACACCAUCUUGAAAAAAAAUAAAAGUUAAAUAAAAAGAGUGAUGAGGCAUCCUGAGAUUCAUUUAUAAAAUGCCGUGAUUCAGGUCUCAGGGCACUGUCGCCCCUACUCACUUUGAUGAAGCCAGUGCUGGGUUGCUGCUGAGGUGGGGAGGUUCAUGGGCCAGGAACUGAAGGCAGCCAUGAGAGCCAGACCCCUCCACCACCCCCAAGACAGCAGGGAACUCACUCCAACAGCCACCCUGGGAUGCUGCCACAGCUGAGCCUGGAGGUGACCGUGACCCUGGCUGACGUCGGACUGCAGCUUUGUAAGGGAGACUGAGCCGGGACCCAGACCUACAAAAGCUGAGAUGAUAAACACUGUUUUAAGCUGCUGUGUGUCGCAGUGACUCGUGUGGUAGUGGAUUUCUAGCAGAGCCGUCGUUCGUGUCUGCCUUCUCUCAGCUCAACACUCUGUAGGGCCACCCAUGCCGUUGUGCAUGUCAACGGUGGAUUUUUUAUUGCGAGUAAUAUUUCAUUCCAUUGCAUGCUCACACCUCGGUUUGUUUAACUGUCUACCUGUUGAUGAGCUCUGGGACAUAUGCAGUUCUGGGCUAUUAUGAGUAAAGCUGCUUUUAACAUUUAAAUA
rnacentral:lncRNA from 10 species